GCAGUAUAAAAUCCCCAAACGGCUCGCUCUCCUCAGUCCUGCAGUCCCCUGCUGAACGCAAUUAUGACGACCACAGAUGAGCAGGAUGAAGAGGAAGAUGAUGAUUAUGAUGAAAAGACCUGAGCCCUAGGACCAUGCCUCAGGACUACCUGACAUGAUGACUCCUUGCUGUCUCCAGUCCACCUGGCCGUGCUGCUGCUCCAGUUUCAACUGUUCUGCCUGUGAUUAUUAUUAUUUGACCAUGCUGGUCAUUUAUGAACAUUUGAACAUCUUGGCCAUGUUCUGUUAUAAUCUCCACCCGACACAGCCAAAAGAGGACUGGCCACCCCACAUAGCCUCGUUCCUCUCUAGGUUUCUUCCUAGGUUUUGGCCUUUCUAGGGAGUUUUUCCUAGCCACCGUGCUUCUACACCUGCAUUGCUUGCUGUUUGGGGUUUUAGGCUGGGUUUCUGUACAGCACUUUGAGAUAUCAGCUGAUGUACGAAGGGCUAUAUAAAUACAUUUGAUUUGAUGAAAACCUGCUCCAGAGUGCUCAGGACCUCAGACUGAGGCGAAGGUUCAACUUCCAACAGGACAACGAACCAAAGUACACAGUCAAGACAACGCAGGAGUGGCUUCGGGACAAGUCUCUGAAUGUCCUUGAGUGGCCCAGCCAGAGCCGGACUUGAACCUGAUCGAACAUCUCUGGAGAGACCUGAAAAUAGCUGUGCAGCAACAUUCCCCAUCCAACAUGACAGCGCUUGAGAAGAUCUGCAGAGAAGAAUGGGAGAAACUCCCCAAAUACAGAUGUACCAAGAUUGUAGCGUCCUACCCAAGAAGACGCGAUGCUGUAAUCGCUGCCAAAGGUGCUUCAAUGAAGUACUGAAUACUUGUGUAAAUGUAAUAUAUAUCAUUUUUUUGCAAAAAUAAAGAAUCUUAACCUGUU